rnacentral:rRNA from 1 species
GGGCCCGCACAAGCGGCGGAGCAUGUGGAUUAAUUCGAUGCAACGCGAAGAACCUUACCUGGGUUUGACAUGCACAGGACGCCGGCAGAGAUGUCGGUUCCCUUGUGGCCUGUGUGCAGGUGGUGCAUGGCUGUCGUCAGCUCGUGUCGUGAGAUGUUGGGUUAAGUCCCGCAACGAGCGCAACCCUUGUCCCGUGUUGCCAGCAGGCCCUUGUGGUGCUGGGGACUCACGGGAGACCGCCGGGGUCAACUCGGAGGAAGGUGGGGACGACGUCAAGUCAUCAUGCCCCUUAUGUCUUGGGCUGCACACGUGCUACAAUGGCCGGUACAAUGAGCUGCGAUACCGUGAGGUGGAGCGAAUCUCAAAAAGCCGGUCUCAGUUCGGAUUGGGGUCUGCAACUCGACCCCAUGAAGUCGGAGUCGCUAGUAAUCGCAGA